GUAAACCUCUUUUCUCAGGGAAGAACACAAUGACGGUACCUGAGGAAUAAGCAUCGGCUAACUCCGUGCCAGCAGCCGCGGUAAUACGGAGGAUGCAAGCGUUAUCCGGAAUGAUUGGGCGUAAAGCGUCCGCAGGUGGCNAUGUAAGUCUGCUGUUAAAGAGUCUAGCUCAACUACAUAAARGCAGUGGAAACUACAWAGCUAGAGUGCGKUCGGGGCAGAGGGAAUUCCUGGUGUAGCGGUGAAAUGCGUAGAGAUCAGGAAGAACACCAGUGGCGAAG
rnacentral:rRNA from 1 species